GUUAGGGUGGCUGAAGCUUAGGCGUUAGAUUGUAAAUCUAAUUAUGAAUUUAUUUCCCCUAUCA
rnacentral:tRNA from 1 species